CUGUUCUAUUAUUGUUUAGAUACAUUUAAGAUAUUAGAAAAGAGAAGAGACUUUGACUGUGUCUCAGUUGACGGGCUGCAUCAUCAUGAGUACGUGGCCCACCUGGACCACCUGGUCCACAUUCUUUCCAGUCCAGUGUAGUGGAGCCUCAGAGCCUCACCAGUUCACGUGACCAGUGGGUGGACUGGUUCCUGCAGCGACUGCAGCAGGAGCCRUGGGCACUGGGCGGUCUCGUGGUCAUGGGCGUGUUCGUGCUGGGAACGCUGUCUCUCGUGCUCUUCGCUCUGCUGUUUGGAUGCUGCAGCCGCCCAAACCAAGACAAGCAAAGAAAGAAGAACCAGCAGAAGAGGUCAAAGAAUGCAGUGAUUUAGAUGUGAUCUGCUGACUUUUGUAGCUUCAGAUCUGUUAGAAUUUUAUUUUGGAGUUUUUACAAAACAGACACAAUGUAUGACCUUGUUUUUAUUUUUUUAAUCACCAGCCACAAUAAAAAGCAGACAGUCAUGUAA